rnacentral:rRNA from 1 species
UACGAAGGGGGCUAGCGUUGUUCGGAUUUACUGGGCGUAAAGCGCACGUAGGCGGAUUGUUAAGUCAGGGGUGAAAUCCUGGAGCUCAACUCCAGAACUGCCUUUGAUACUGAGGAUCUUGAGUUCGGGAGAGGUGAGUGGAACUGCGAGUGUAGAGGUGAAAUUCGUAGAUAUUCGCAAGAACACCAGUGGCGAAGGCGGCUCUCUGGGACGGUACUGACGCUGAGACGCGAAAGCGUGGGGAGCGAACAGG